rnacentral:lncRNA from 1 species
CCGAGGCCCCGCUGUCCCGGCCGGACCGGCCUGGUCCCUGGCGUCCUGUCGGGUCGGCGCUGGAGGAGAGUCCCAGACAGCAGAGCCCGCGCUCGCCUCCCUUCCGCCAAGAUUCACAGAACACGGCAGAGUGGCCUCGGGAUCACCUGCCCAAGACACCUGCACGACCGGAAGUUGGGAGAAGAAAUAAGGCCAUGAUGACGAACGCAGCCUUUCUCGUUUAUUUCCAAUCCCACAACAAACCUGAGUCCAGGAACUCAUGGGUGAUUAUCGGACUAUUACCUAGUCGUAAAACUGUGGAGCAUUGGUGUCUAAAGGAAUCUGAGACAGACCCGCAGUGUCUCCCCCACAUGCCUUAAGUCACUUCUGCCAAGCAGAAAAUCAUUUUUAAGUAAAUGUUAGUGAAAUUGGUUUUAAAAAAGAGAAGGGGCCGGGCGCGGUGGCUCACGCCUGUAAUCCUAGCCUUUAGGAGGCCGAGGUGGGCGGAUUGCCUGAGUUCAGGAGUUCGAGACCAGCCUGGGCGACACGGUGAAACCCCCGUCCCUACUAAAAUACAAAAAAUUAGCCGGGCGUGGCGGCACGCGCCUGUAAUCCCAGCUACUCAGGAGGCUGAGGCAGGAGAAUGGCUUGAACUCGGGUGGGGGAGGUUGCAGUGAGCCGAGAUCGCGCCGCUGCACUCCAGCCUGGGCGACAGAGCGAGACUCCGUCUCUGAAAAAAAAAAAAACGAGAAGGCUUUCAAAAUUACUCUGCGGUACACUAAUUUAACAGAUUAGAUCACUCUCCAGGCUUUAAGUUGGUCUUUGUUCUACCCUUUUUUUAGUGUAUGAUAAAAGUUGUGUUGGUUCGUUGAUCAGCAUGCAAUGAACUCUGGCUCUUGUUAAUCAGGUGAAUACAGUUUUGUCCUUACAUUUGUAUGUAUGUCAUGAGUGGUUUUGUAUGGGCAGGAGGUAAAUAACGCACAUUUACAUAUACUUAAUGAUUUAUCAUUCCAAUGUUUUCUGGUUGUUUUAGUCUUUCAUUUGUCUCUUGAACAAUCUGAAACAUCCCUAUUCUAAGGCUAAAAAAUUUCCUUUACAAACUUAGGUUAAACAUUCCUAAUCUGAAAUCCAAAAUGCUCUAAAAUUCGAAUUUUUUUGAGUGCUGACGUGACCCCACAAAUGGAAAAUUCCACACUUGCCCUCAUGUGACACUGGGUGACAGUCAAGUCACAAUCAAGCCUGGUGUGGUGGGCACCUGUAGUGCCAGCUACUCGGGAGGUUGAGCAGGAGGAUUGCUUGAGCCCAGGAGUUUGAGUCCAGCCUGGACGAUAUAGCCAGACCCUGUCUGUAAAAAAACAAAAACAAAAACAAAAAAAACAACAUUUUUUUUAAAAAACGCCAUCAAAACUUU